UGUGCCAUUUGCUUUUUCUCUCCUCUGCCCGUCUCUGGAUGGAAAUUAAACACACAGAGGAAUUCCCUUCGUUGCAUCUCUUCAAGGAGAAAACUACUGUCUCUGCUUCCUGCCUGCAUUGCUGUCCACCGCUUGUCGUAAGGACACCGAUAGCCCUGGAAGACCCCAGGGGCUGCCGACGGUCAGACAUAGUCAGAGACACUCAAGCAAUUUUAAUCUUCGGUACAUUUUAUUGCUUUCUGAUGCUUCAUAAAAUUAGAGCCAUCCCAGUUCGCUGAUUCUCUGAUGCUCAUGCUGUUAACAUCUCUGAAGCUGGGAUGCAUCUCACUUAAAUUGAAGGUAGGCUCUUCCAGAGAGGGCCGCAGUCACUCCUGCUGGGCACCUGAGCACCACUUUAGAGUCUUGGCUUCGGGGUGGUGUUUUGGACCGCAUGGGAAGUGUGAAUUCAGACCGCAAGCCUGUGUGAGGAGGAGCCUGCAGUUCAAAUUUUCAGAGACUUCCUUCCCUUCCCUUCACUCAGUACCGGGAUGAACAUGAAGUCUCCUUGCUGUUCCCACCGUGAGGCGGGGUCAUCACUUGUUACUGGUACACCGAGCCCUCUGCUGUCUCUAAGAGACUCUCCGUGUGGGUUUAUUUUCUUUCUCAGGGAUGUGUGAAAUAAUGUUCAUCUUACAGUUCCUGAUAACUUUAAUUUGAAAAAAUAUGGCUUGUGGUUUCUCUAUUAAUCAGAACCCCCAUCGUCUGGCCAUUCCGGGGAGCAGGACAGCUGCUCUGUUAGUAAAUUCCAGCGUGGCUGUGGUCACUGAGAAUUCACUGUAGAACCCAGCACGCGGGUCUACAGAUCUCAAGGGGCAGCGCCCGGCAGCCCAGGUGUUCUGAGUCUCCCCAGCACAUGUGGGCUGGGCGGUUAGGACCGAGCCCGGCCAGACAAGACACACAGGCACUUGCCAGACCUAGGCGAGAGUCUGGAAUCCCUGCAAGCCCAGCCCCACCCAGAGGUGGCUCAGGGUGAGGUGAACAGGAUGGGUGGGAAGGGAACUCGUGUAUUGGUUGCAUUCUUUCAGGGAGAGACUCGUAGCUCAGCUCAGGUGAUGGGGUUUGACCAGGGUGGUGAGAAAGCCCUGGGAGUGACCUCAGUAGCCAUGUAGUCAUCGGCCCAGUGGUGACCCUCCUGCUUUCACUUCUCCUUCUUGGCUUCCACUGCCAUAACCUGCCUCCAGGAAUGACUGACAACCCAGCGCCUCAGAGCAAGAAGCCGACUGCCAGACUCCAGAGGAACUGCAUGUUCAAAGCACAAGUCUGGCUUUUACUUCCCCGCCAGAACCCCUUGUUCUACAACAGCUUUAGGCCUCCUGGAUGUGUCUGCAUGUCGACUGUGCCAAGACGGGCCAGAGGAUGGCUUCGGAGGACCCCAUCUCAUUACUUUCCUUUGCUCUCACUUGCUGGAACAUGGCAGAACUCUGGGGAGAGUGGAUGCUGCCGAGCACAGGAAGUGAGAAAGACCAAGAGUUCGGCCAACUCUGCUGAGAGAAGCAUCUUGGAGAUGCUGCUGAGAAAGGGACCGAGGCAGCACAGGCCUGUAGCACCACCUAGGGGAAGAAAUGCCCCUGGGCUCGCCGCUGGCGCAAGCAGACUCCUCAUUGCAAAUCGACACAAUUUAUGAAAAUGCAGGAUUCACUUGAAGAAUAAAAAAUGAGAUGAACAGAAAGGAAAAGGAGAGUCAUUGUUCAUUUCAUAAAAAUUAUUUCAAUUAUUUCUCAAUUACAAAGGCAUUCCAUUUCAGUUAGGGUACCUUUAAAAAUGUAUGUUCCCAUCCUUCA